CGUCUCUCCUCGUGUUGCACUCAGGUAUGAUCACCGUGGUGGACGGCCAACCGGUUCUCGCGGAUCCCCUUAAGGAGUGGAAGAUCCUGGUGACCCAUUACGGCGGACUGGCCGGCCUCGCCCUCGUCGGACUCCUCGUGGCGGCUAUCCUCCCCUGCGCGGGUCUCUUCUUCUGUUGCUGCAGAUGCGCGGGCCACUGCGGCGCCCGCAGUCAGCCCUUCGACAAGAAGCACGAUCAUUGCAGGAAGAUUAUGCUCAGCAUCGUGCUGAUCGGCGUCGCCACCAUUCUGCUCUUCGGCGUGGUGUGCGCCUUUGUCACCAACGAGUACAUGCAGGAGGGCACCAAAGAGCUUCCGCACAACGCCAAGACCAGCCUGAAGGACGUGAAGCUCUACUUGAGCUCCACGAAACAAGAGAUUGAGAAUCUGCUGAAGACCAACUGCGAGGAGCUAGAGGUCACGCUCAACAAUAUCCUCCAGGCCAGCGGCAAGAUCGUCACCGAGCAGUUGGCGGAGUAUUCCCACGCCGUCUCCCUGACGAAUCUCAAUGACAUCGUCACCGGCCUGGAGUCGAUCAGAGAGGACCUGCGGCUCAUGAAUAAGAUAACGCAGGAACUGCGAAUAAACGCCAGUCAAUUGGACAUCGUUGUUCGCGGCGUCAAGAAGAAUCUUCUCCACACGUUAGCCGCGUGCACGACCGACAAGUGCCAGCGAGUCCUGCACGACUACAAAGUGAAUCAAAUGUCAGUCCAAGUAGACUUCGAUAAGUACAUGGACCGUUACUUCCCGAAGCUUCAGUCUCUGCCGGACGUUACGUUCGCGUUACAUAACAUCACCGUGCUGAUGGAAGGCAACAUAGUGUCGGAGGUGAGCCAAGGCAGAGAGUCGUUCCUGAAGAUCCAGAAGGACAUUCAGCACGCUGUGAAUCAGACGAUCCCCGUGGUCAGCGCGAGCAUCCGACGUGCUUGUAACUUUCUAGCCAACAUCGCCACCAACAUGACUGCCCUCAUCGACAGACUGAAUGCCGACAUAGAUAGAGUUUAUAUUCCGCAUUUAGACAUCGCCCGGAACAACAUAGAUCAGUAUUCGCCCUAUAGAUACUACCUCGGCCUGGGUAUAUCCGGCAUUCUUCUGACUGUCUUGAUGUGCUUGACGUGCGGCCUCCUCUGCGGCAUUUGCGGAAAGCGCCCGGACGGAUACGGGGACGAUUGCUGUAACAAAGGGUCAGGUGCACGCUUUCUCAUGAUGGCCGUGUGGAUCAUCUUUCUCCUGACGAGUGUGUUGAUGGUUAUAACCGUGGCUCACAUGGUAACCGGUGUUAUGGCUCAGCGCGGUAUCUGCGAGCCCCUGAAGAACCCGAAAGACAACAGAAUGUUUGAGCUGGUCGACGAACUCGUGCAGAUCAAGAGGAUACUUUACCCGAAGAAUCCGAAAGCGAAUAUCAAUAUGAGUUACAUCGUUACCAAGUGCCACGAAAACGAGACGCUCUACGACGUGUUGAAUCUGAAGAAUCUCUACGACGUGGAGAAUCUACGCGAUUACGCCGGUCGCUACGACAUCAACGACACGAUCCAACAGCUGCGACGUAAGAUCAGCCUCUCCCCCGGCGUGGUGAUUUUAAAAGACAGCGCGAGGUCCAAGCUGAACGACCUCGCGCAGAGUGGUCUCAGCGACAUCAAGUUUUACCAGUAUGCCGAGUUGCUCGCCGAAAACAUCACAAACAUCAACUUGGAACACCUCGCCAAGCAACUGCGCGAGGUUUCCGCCAAGUUGCCGGGCGGUCAAGAGGACAUCAGGGACAGUCUCGAGAAGAACGCUCACGACUUGGAGCAUUAUCACAGAGACCUGGUCAUGCCGAUGGCCAUGCUCAGCGAGCAACUGAGCGCCAAUGCGCUGAUGCUCCAAGAGAACAUCAAGUUCAAUCACAGCUCGAUGGCGGAAGCUAUUCACGACCUAGUGGACGAGGUCACCAAGGCGCAACAGUUUCUGAACAAAGACGGCCCGGAGUAUGUUCAAUAUCUCGCGACCAGGUUUGGCAACGCGUUUCUACAUCAGGUGGACAAGUUCCUCGAUCAUGUCAUCUUAAAGUCCAUCAAGGAGAUCGGGAGGUGCGCUCCCGUUUCGAACGCUUACAACGCGACACUCGUGGCAGGAUGCAAUAAGGUCCUGGAUCCAUUCAACGGUUUCUGGGCGAGCGUCGGCUGGUGCUUGAUCCUAUUCAUACCGACGAUAGUGCUCUGCGUGAAGCUGAGCGCCCUGUACCAAAAGUCGGAUCCGUAUCCGGGGCCCCUCGUUGAAGCUGAAUAUUUGUAUGACGCGUACGCAGACAGGGAUAACAUACCCCUCGCCCAAGCUUCGCUAGGAGAUACACACAUACUGACAUACACACCGUGCACGACAAGAAGCACGUCUCCCACGGUAGACACCAUCCGUCGGCGUACGUGGAGAGCUACGAUGGACCCGCGGGAUACAACGAGCGAGAGAGGAUUGCCGACGCUCAUCAAAGUACGUCGCACCAUGACUCAAGAUACUCCGACCUGGCGCCGAAUUUCACCCUAUCGUGGCGAAACCACGAACAUACCGCCCCUUCCAAAACAGAACCUCACAAUAAAGUCUUUAGCGUAUCACUAGAGUCGCAAAAUUGGGACUUCCCCAACGGUGGACCGCCAAGGUAUCAACCAGCUGCCGGGGCACCGCCUCCAUUAAGUACCGAGUAUGAACGACCGCCGCCCUAUUACUAUCCUGGACCGGGGGAUAGAAAUUAGGAAACAAGUGCCGUGGCAUGCACGAAAGCAGCGCUGAACAGUGUGGCGACUCACAGCCUCACGCGCAGUUACAAACGAACGCUCAAGAAGAGAGAGAAGUCGGGAUGCAAGAGAGACUACGUGUAAAUCCCUCGCGUUGUUCCUGAGCGUGCCACGGAUUGUGCGAACACCAAAAGUAACUAAAGACCAAGUUUGAUACACAGACUGAGAUAGGCUAAUGACCGUCUUCGCCAAGUGCUCCCUUUCGUUUGCCCUUCCUCGAGCGUAGCGUGCAAUCAAAUACGUAUGCGCGAAUCCUCCUUUUGUUCUCCGUAAAGAUUUACAAAAUACUCGUUCUUCUAGGCGAAACGUUCUUCUUCGCGCUCGCGUUUCGCCAGUCCCUCUGCUUUCGUUCGGAAAUGUUCAGGUGUUUAGCUUCUUCAGACUCACUCGGUGACGACUACUUUGAUCCGUCGAGCGGCAGACAAGUACGACGUGCUUGCACUUUGUCGCAGUCGCUGUCGGCCGACUCGUUUCGGAUGGUUUCGACCGAGAGCCGCCGGUCGAAAGAGAAGGAAAAUUCCUUUUGCUUUCGCGAAGAAGACACGCAAAGACUGUGCCGAAUGUACCGCGAGAGCUCGCUCUCGCGCGUACUCGCAUAUCCACCGGUCAAGCUACGUAAAUGCACAAAAAAUACCAAACGCUGCCAAUUCAGUGCGCCGUAUUUUAGUCCGCGAAGAAGGGGGCCCGUCGAUGUAUCCGGAGUAUCCUGCGGACCACCCGUUUCCAAGCACUGAGCAACAACACGCCAUAUGAAAAUGCCAAACGAGAAAUACACGUACGCGACUCGCGGCAGCACGCCGCGGCUCAUCACACACACCUUGGAUCUCGCUGGUCUCUAGCCGAGGACGAGAGACACCUUCAGA